rnacentral:lncRNA from 1 species
AUUUAAAUGGCACAGGGCAGAUGGGAACUUUAUUAUUAUUACUAAUUAAAUUUAGAUGGAAACUUCUGCAUGGGAAGAGAACUUUGUUACACACCAGUUCUGUUGCUUUUGUAAGACAACCAACAUAUUUGAUAUCAAUUCUCCUCUAAUCAGAUGUUAGUAGCUUAUCUUUCCUAGUUAUUUUUUUCAUUGCUCUUAAAAAGAUACACGGGAGUUUAUUUUUUCUUUUUCUUUUUUUUUUUUUACAUUAUCUCUAAUACUUUUUAUUGACUGUCAUCUGGAUCUUUUUUUUAUUAGAUAUUUUCUUUAUUUACUUUUCAAAUGUUCUUCCCUUUCCUAUUUUCCUCUCUGAAAAUCCCCUAUCCCUUCCCCUCCUUGCCCUGCUCCCCAACCCACCCACUCCUGCUUCUUGGCCCUGGCAUUCCCCUAUACUGGAGCAUAGAACCUUCACUAGAUCAAGAGCCUCUCCUCCCAUAGAAUGUUCAUUGUAAAUUAAGGUUUGGUUUUAUGGCCCUCUCUCAUAACCAUUCAUCUGUUUCAAAAAUCUUGUUGGCAUCUGUUCUGAGACAUAAAUAUUUUUGGUCAUGUGAAAAAUACUGACAUGGAACAAAUACUAAUUGAAGAAUAUUGUUGGAUUUUUAAAAAUAAAACAAGCCUUAUAGAUAAGUAGUACUAUUUGAAGGCAUUCUCUUAUAUGGACAGAAUAGAUAUUUUAGGAGCACUCUUCCUGGAUUGGGAAUGUUUGAAUGUUAGGAAGAAGUAAAGAAACAGCACUCAUCAGAAGCCAGUCCAGUGGUAGUCAGUGAAGGCAGUACUCCGAAUCUCAGCUGAGGUCCUGCUGUUAAAAUUACUGGCUGGGAGAGUUUACUCACAAACCUGACCAUUCUUGAUCUUGUUUUUUGGUCUUGGCACUUUUGUUGUUCCACUUUGCAUCUCUGUGGGUGGGGUGGGGGGGCACGGGGAUUGAAAUCUUAAAGAAAUGUGGCUGCUUUUGUUACUUUUUUGUAGUGGUGCUGAGAAUUGAGUCCAUGAACCUUAUGAAUGGUAGGGCACUGAAUGGCAUUUUUAGCCCCUUCUAUUUUGAUAGGGUCUCACUGUGUACCUUAGAGGGGCCUGAAACUUGCUAUAUAGUCCAGGAUGAACUUGGACUCAAGAUUGUUCUGCCCCUCAGUGUUCUGGGUGCUGAGAUUGCAGGCUUAUGCCUCUCAUGAUGAUCUGGUACUCAAAUGCUCGUGUCUAGUAUCUGAGGCAUAUUUCUGGCAAGUGAAAUAAUCUUUAAGUGAUAGAAUGAUAUGGUUAAAUUAUCUACCUCUCAGAAAAACCAAAAUCCCUAUUUGGAUGCUUGAGCAAUAAUAACUAGCCUUCUGCCUUUACUGUUCCAUGUGGUCUGCAACAUUUAGAGUAUCUCACAAUGUUGUGUAUGGAUGAGAUAUUACUAUUUAAGAAUUAACUUUAAAAGACUAUAGUUUUCCUUAUAAUUAGGGUUUUGAAUAUGGAACAUUGAUCUCUUUUAUUUGAGAAUAUACUGAAAAUAAAUUAGCUGUGAGAAACAGAACCAUAUCUUUCAGUUGGACAUUCUCAGUUCCGCAAACGGUUUUAAGAAAUAGUUGAGAUUCUUAUUGGUGUCUUGGCAACCCUGAACUCAAAAGUAUGUGCUAAUUUUGACUGGUAGCUUUCAUUUUGAAUGGGACUAGAAAAGGAAGGAAUACCUGUAAGAGAAAAAGGAAUGAUGCACUAGAGAAAAAGAAAUGAAGCAGUAGGCACAGGAAAUUGAAUUACAGGGUGAGGUGAAGUUUGGGAGUUUAGGGAAAGAGCUUCCUUUAGCUUUUUGCAUAGAGGUACUUAGAGAAAUAGGACUUUCUGGAGGAGAGUAGUUUUCAUUUUUUUUUUUUUUUUUUGCUUACUAAAUAUAUGUAGUUCCAUAGUAUUCUGCCCACUGGGCAUCUGUGGGUUUCAUGUUGAGAAUAUCUGAUCAUUAUCUUUUGUGUGGACAGGGUUCAGGGUGUGAGACAGCCAGUGGGUCUCUACUUUUUCAUAAGAGACCUUCAUAUUUUCCAGUUGUCAUUUCUUUGCUUGACCACUUUGACUAAUCAACAUUUAUUCAAUGUGAUUCUGAGAAAAUCAGUUCAUAUACCACAAAAAUCCUCACACAAACAUUAUAUACACACAGAUGAAGGAGCUUUUAAAUGAGAUAGUUUUGUUUCUUAAAACUAUUCUGGAGCUCUUGUUAAUACUGAAUUGUUAAUAUUGAAUUUAUAAUGAAGAGUUACUUUUUUGUGUGUGCAUAUGUGUACACACAGAUGUGUGUUGUGUAUCUGUUUGUGUAAAAUACAUAUGCAGGCCAGAGGUUGACACCAGGUGUCUUCCAUAAUUGUGUUCUACUUUUAUGUUUCGAGACAGGUCUUUCACUGAAGCUGGUUCUUACUGCUUAGCUAGACUGAAGCUGGCUUGGAAGAAACUGCCUGUUUUUCCCAAAUCUCCAUCCCUGUACUGGAGUUGCAUACACAGGCUUCCAUGCCUAACUUUUCCUGUAGCUGCUGUGGAGCUGAAUCUCAGCCCUCAUGGCUGCACAACAGGCACUCUACUCAUGUCCUAAGACCUAAGUUGCUAAUCUUUAAGGUUUAUCAUUCUUUUUGAGCUUCUCUCUCUAGACUAGGUAACUAGGGUUCAUUAACACAGUAUCUAAGCCACAGGAACUAUAAAAUAGAUGGGAGAAUCAGAAGGCUUGAAUUGCCAGCUACCCCCCAGCUUGUCUAGUGUCUAAAAGUGGAUGUGUGAGUGUGUGUGCACUCAAAAAACAGCUGUUAGGAUCUUUCAUUCUUCUUUUUGGUUGCAAGCAUGUAAUUUUGUUUGGCUUGUAUCUGGUAAGGGGAGGAGGUUUUUCUGAAAGUUUUAUGUGAAAAACAUAAGGGAGACAGAAGUGGCCAGGCCUUGUGGAAAUCCAGACAAGUUGGCUUCACUAGAUUUUCACUAGGUAGGCGAUAUGAUAUCUAAUGGGGAAAUCGAGGCAACUCUAGUGAUUGGGUAUUGCAGUCUUGGCAGCAAGAAGUACUGUGUCUCUUCUCCUAGCUCUUCUAAGACUAAAAAGAUUUCUCACUCUGUCUUCUCAAUAUAUUUGUAGGUACUUCUCACCUUUCUGGCACCUUUUAUCUGUUUUCUUUCCCUGUGUAGCUUUGGCUCAGUCUCUUAAUGGAAAAUAUGAUUAGUUGAAUUAGGUAUAUUUGAGCAAAUUUCUCUUUCAUGCUGGCUUCAUAGGUUGCUGGCUUGUCUGCAGUGUGGUCUUUGGGCAGGCUUUCUCUGCUGGUCCUACCAUGCGGUCAUUAUGGGAAAGUCAGGAGCAUAAAACAUGGUCCUGAGCCCAGCAGAAGGAAUCGUGAUGGAAAUAUUUAAAGGAUAUUGCUACAAUUAGGGUUUGAAUAUACAUGAAAACAUUAGCAUUGAAGGCGGCAGGUGUUUGUGACUGCUACACUAAUGCAGCAUUAAUGGUCCUUCUCAUUCUCUGCGGGGGAGUUUUGGCCAGUGUUUGUAGUUCUUCUGAACUGCCUGCUGCAUUACCAUCUCUGGCUGUGCAGAGUCAUAGAAAUCCUGUUAUUUUCAUGGAGAAAGAGCUCUUGUGUUUCCUAUGGCAGCAUUUAGGUCAUUCUGUCACAAGUUGUUACAGACAUCCCAUUACACUGUAUAGUUUCAGCUAGCAAUUUAAUUCUAAAAUUCGAUCCUAAAAUUUUAAGGUAUUGUUCUUGCUUUUCUGUCUUAUGUUUUUGGAAUUUGACUUACUAUGAUAGCUGAUUUCUGUUCGGUUAGUCUUGAUGUACCUGACACCAUUCUGUACUUUUGGUGAUAAGAGUCUGCGAACUUAGGUUGAAGUCUUGGCUCAUUUAUUUACAGCUUCGAAGUGUGGCCAAGUUACGUAUCAACUUCAAAUUUCUUGUCUAU